CAAUCCGCAGCCCCCUGGGUCUGUGCAGUUACCAGCCAGCCUCCCUGAGAACUUUUCACUGAAACACCAGAGAAAAUGAGACUUUGGCUCCAUUUACUUUUCCUUGUGGCAGCUCUGGAAGGGGCCCGGUCACAGGUUGCUCUGACCCAGUCCGGUCCAGAACUGAAGAAGCCCGGAGAAUCCACUCAGUUGAAAUGCGCCGUGAGCGGGUUCGCUGUCUCCAGCUAUUACAUGGCGUGGGUCAGACAGGAGCCGGGAAAGGGGCUGGAGUGGCUGGUCAGCUAUCACACACCUUCAUCUACAAACUACUGCUCUGACAGCAUCCAGGGGCGAUUCACGGCCUCCAAGGACAGCUCCAAUUUCUACCUGCACAUGACCGGCCUGAGACCCCAGGACACCGCCGUGUAUUACUGCGCCAGAGACACACAGUGA